rnacentral:lncRNA from 1 species
AGCUUCCUGGGGUGCAUAGCUGAAGGUAGCAGGGAGCAAAAAGAAUCUGAAGGGGCAAGUGAACAAUGUAGAGCGUAUCUGUGCUGAAGACAUAAGGAGAGAGUGGAGGUCAGAAGCUGGCACGGUCCCUGGUGCACGUGUCAGCCGCUAAAGAAGUGGAGAGUAUGAACAUAAGCAAGAGGAAGUGAUGAGUAUCCCUUCCAGGAGAACUCUAAGAGGCAGUGAGUGAUUUGCUGGGCUCCCAAGCCCUCUGCUCUGAUGACAGCAAAGCCCCAAAUCAUGAUGCCUCCAUCAGUCGGGACCCCUCAGCAGAGCCAGCUUCACAGCUGGAGUGGAUGAAUCAGAACUUUCCCCAUGGGAGCAUUUAUAAAAAGGGGACACCCAGCGCAGAAGAUGUUUUCCAGGGAGAUCUCGGGGAGCCCAACAAGCCAAGAAGAGCAGAGCAAAGCAUUCCAAGGAAGGACUCUAAGUCUGCAACAGAGCACACACGAGGAUGGGAAUAGGGACAUCUGCUGCAUUUGGCUGUUGGAGAAACACGAGGAAAUCAUGGACAAGUGCCAGGUGUGGUGACA